rnacentral:rRNA from 1 species
CGUACAAGCAGUGGGAGCACGCUUAGGCGUGUGACUGCGUACCUUUUGUAUAAUGGGUCAGCGACUUAUAUUCUGUAGCAAGGUUAACCGAAUAGGGGAGCCGAAGGGAAACCGAGUCUUAACUGGGCGUUAAGUUGCAGGGUAUAGACCCGAAACCCGGUGAUCUAGCCAUGGGCAGGUUGAAGGUUGGGUAACACUAACUGGAGGACCGAACCGACUAAUGUUGAAAAAUUAGCGGAUGACUUGUGGCUGGGGGUGAAAGGCCAAUCAAACCGGGAGAUAGCUGGUUCUCCCCGAAAGCUAUUUAGGUAGCGCCUCGUGAAUUCAUCUCCGGGGGUAGAGCACUGUUUCGGCAAGGGGGUCAUCCCGACUUACCAACCCGAUGCAAACUGCGAAUACCGGAGAAUGUUAUCACGGGAGACACACGGCGGGUGCUAACGUCCGUCGUGAAGAGGGAAACAACCCAGACCGCCAGCUAAGGUCCCAAAGUCAUGGUUAAGUGGGAAACGAUGUGGGAAGGCCCAGACAGCCAGGAUGUUGGCUUAGAAGCAGCCAUCAUUUAAAGAAAGCGUAAUAGCUCACUGGUCGAGUCGGCCUGCGCGGAAGAUGUAACGGGGCUAAACCAUGCACCGAAGCUGCGGCAGCGACGCUUAUGCGUUGUUGGGUAGGGGAGCGUUCUGUAAGCCUGUGAAGGUGUGCUGUGAGGCAUGCUGGAGGUAUCAGAAGUGCGAAUGCUGACAUAAGUAACGAUAAAGCGGGUGAAAAGCCCGCUCGCCGGAAGACCAAGGGUUCCUGUCCAACGUUAAUCGGGGCAGGGUGAGUCGACCCCUAAGGCGAGGCCGAAAGGCGUAGUCGAUGGGAAACAGGUUAAUAUUCCUGUACUUGGUGUUACUGCGAAGGGGGGACGGAGAAGGCUAUGUUGGCCGGGCGACGGUUGUCCCGGUUUAAGCGUGUAGGCUGGUUUUCCAGGCAAAUCCGGAAAAUCAAGGCUGAGGCGUGAUGACGAGGCACUACGGUGCUGAAGCAACAAAUGCCCUGCUUCCAGGAAAAGCCUCUAAGCAUCAGGUAACAUCAAAUCGUACCCCAAACCGACACAGGUGGUCAGGUAGAGAAUACCAAGGCGCUUGAGAGAACUCGGGUGAAGGAACUAGGCAAAAUGGUGCCGUAACUUCGGGAGAAGGCACGC